GGGCCGUUAGCUCAGCCGGUAGAGCAGCUGACUCUUAAUCGGCGGGUCGGAGGUUAGAGUCCUCCACGGCUCACCA
rnacentral:tRNA from 1 species